CAAGUCAUCAUGGCCCUUACGACCAGGGCUACACACGUGCUACAAUGGCGCAUACAAAGAGAAGCGACCUCGCGAGAGCAAGCGGACCUCAUAAAGUGCGUCGUAGUCCGGAUUGGAGUCUGCAACUCGACUCCAUGAAGUCGGAAUCGCUAGUAAUCGUGGAUCAGAAUGCCACGGUGAAUACGUUCCCGGGCCUUGUACACACCGCCCGUCACACCAUGGGAGUGGGUUGCAAAAGAAGUAGGUAGCUUAACCUUCGGGAGGGCGCUUACCACUUUGUGAUUCAUGACUGGGGUGAAGUCGUAACAAGGUAACCGUAGGGGAACCUGCGGUUGGAUCACCUCCUUACCUGAAAGAAGC
rnacentral:rRNA from 1 species